AGAAAUCAAGGGUGGGUAAGACCU
rnacentral:miRNA from 1 species